rnacentral:rRNA from 1 species
GGAUCAAUUUGCUGGCCGCGCCUCUGGUACGUACUGGUAUUAUUGGUUUCUCCCUUCUGACGAACCAUGAUGUCAUUAAUUUGAUGUCGUGGAGAAUCAGGACUGUUACUUUGAAAAAAUUAGAGUGUUUAAAGCAAGCUAACGCUUGAAUACAUUAGCAUGGGAUAAUGGAAUAGGAUGUUCGAUCCUAUUUUGUUGGUUUCUAGGAUUGACGUA